CUCAAGAUACUUUUUAGUAUUUCGGGGCAUUUCAUUGAGUUCGCACCAUAGUCUGCGGUAGAAAAGUCAACUCUAUUAAAAUGAAAAUCAAGUGCCUUAGUUUUGUUAUUGUGUGUUACAGCCGUUUUAUCAGACACUCCAUAUGAGUUAUAUCAGCGUGUGGCAUACGCUCUCAUUUGAACCACGGUUUAUAACUUAUUUCUCUUCACGCACAUUUAGAAAUCUCAGAUGAUACUCAUCCCUUCGUGAAAAUUGGUAGAAAGAAAAAAAUUUGUAACAUUUGAAUCAUGUUAAAUGAAUUGGGUCGCGACCGCAAAUCUCUGUCAACGAUAUAACAGUGACUUGGCAACAAUCGAUUCUGAAACCAAAUUGAAUUAUCUAGUACAUUCAUAGUUAUAAUAGUUAAAAAUGACCUAACAAACAAACAUUUUUGGCUUGGCGGCAACGAUUUGGCAGAGGAAGCCGGACAAUUGCAAUGAAUAGGAUGGUUUUAGUGUUAGUAAAAUAGUUUAUAUGAACGACUUAUCCUGCAGUGAAGAUUGCCAUCCGAUAUGUGAAAUUCGAAGAGCACCGAAAACGUAUAAACAAGACGAAUGUGAGAACAUAUCUAUGAAGUGUGCAUUAAAGACACUCGAUCAAGAAUUUAUUCGAGCCGAAAGAACAUUUUAUUUCAGAGCUUAAAUAAAAACUCGAAUACCUAUGUAUGUAGGAGCGAAGUGCAGUUUCAGUAAAUUCCAUACACACUAUUAUAAUGAGAACAUUAAUUGUUAUUUUAAAUGAAUUGAGCUGACUUUGUGGAACUAAAAACAGAAAAUUUCUUCUGUGUUCUUCAUAUUCAUGGUGACGCAAACAACCGUUAUGUAAACAAAACUAUAAUACCCUGUACAACAUUUUGCGAGAGAAUAUAGGUGGCACAUCCGAAAUAACUUCCCAAGAAAAUGUAACCAAUCAGAGUGCCUAUAAAGUCUCAAUCUGCAGGUGGAAAAGCUUUAUUAGAGCCACUGAUGUGUGUUUUCAACAGACACCUUCGCGGUUUUCUGUAGUCUUUAAGUCGACCCUACCAUGCGAACGAAGGUCUAAAUAUGACAGAGAAGGGGCUGUU